AUAAAAAAAUAUAUUGUUGAUAAUUUGUUUUUCUUUGCAAGCGCUCAAUUACUGGUUUCUUUCCUCCUGCUCCUGGUAAUGUUUUAAUAACCGUGUAUGUUUUCCACCACAGCACACAGUGCUGAUGAGUGCCGAGGCCGUGCUCCCUCCCAAUUUCCAUCUCUUAAUUAAAGGAAAGGAAAAGGAAAGCAGCGCCAAACAUCGUCAGGGAACGUAUCAAUUCAUAACAGCUGUGGGUGGUUAUUUCUGUCCGCGGCUUCAAUAGUUUAAUUGGAGAAGCAUGGUAAAAGAGCGCUCUUCCCUUUGGCUUUGAGGAGCGUUUCAGGGAUUUUUCUCCUGAAUCCAAAUGAAGCCAGACCUGAAGCUGCCAGUGAGCUGGCAGAGGCAGCCCCAGCAGCCUGGAUUUGCAGUAGGAGGGAUGGCAAAACUGGGGUGCAGCCAGGCCGUACACCCUGCAUGUCCAGGACCCUUGCUGUGUCCCGUGGUGGCAACACCUCCUGGGACUUCAUUGCUGAGCUGUCAUCUGCAUCCAGGGAAGAGGGAUGAAAGGAGAUCACCUAACGCAAAGGAAGGGAGCAGGGAAGAGCAUUUCUAGACUUCUUCUCCUCCAACCAUGGAGAUGCAGUCUCAGUUCUCCAGCUGUCACUGGUUAAUCAUCACCUUCCCAAGAGCAGAGGGGGAACGAGGAUCUGACUCAUGACUCAGAGCCUGGACUCCUCCAAGGGGAACGCUGCCCGUUCCUUAGGGCUGGUAAGUCCAAAGGCAUGAAAAUAGCAGGGUUUUAGGGACAGACCUUCAAAAGAAGUUUCCUCAGAUAUUACCUUGAGCCGUUUCCAUGUGUGUUCUUGCCAACAAACUCUUGUUAGAAUAUUUGUGGAAAAUAAACUCCGGAGAGCCAUGAGCA
rnacentral:lncRNA from 1 species